rnacentral:lncRNA from 1 species
GAAAUUAUAGGAACAAGUUCCAAAAGUAAAGGCAGGACAAGGAAAAAUUAUAAUUGAUUUCUAUUAAGGUUGAAUUCUUACAUAUACCAUCAUACCCAAUAAUUCAUUUGAACCCAUUACACUUACACCAAAAACACCCCUAAAAUUCGCUUUUAUUAAAAAUAAUCAAUUUAAAAAUUAGCUAUAAACCAUUACAUCUACACCCAAAACACCAUAAAACUCUGUUAUUAAAAAGAAUAAAAAAAAAUAGUCCUGGUUCCCAACAAUAACAAAGAUAAGAGAAAAAUAAAGAACGAUAAUAUUAGAAAUUAAAUUUUAAAAUUUGAAACAAAGUUUUAAAAUUAGGGUUUGGGGAAGAAGAAAAUGAAUAAGAGAAACAUUGAUGAAGAACUAGCGAGGAGAGAGAAGAAUAACUUACCCAUUUGUAAAAAGAGAGACAAAAUAUUUUGUGUUGUGCUGGGUGCGAUAGCCAAA